rnacentral:rRNA from 1 species
AGAGUUUGAUCAUGGCUCAGGACGAACGCUGGCGGCGCGCUUAACACAUGCAAGUCGAGCGAGAACCCAGGCUUCGGCCUGGGGGACAGCGGCGAACGGGUGAGUAACACGUGGGUAAUCUGCCCUCGGCAUCGGGAUAGCCCGGGGAAACCCGGAUUAAUACCGAAUGGCCCAUCUGCUCUUCGGAGCGGCUGGAAAAGGUAGCUUUGGCCUCCGGCCGAGGAGGAGCCCGCGGCGGAUUAGCUUGUUGGUGAGGUAACGGCUCACCAAGGCGACGAUCCGUAGCUGGUCUGAGAGGACGAUCAGCCACACUGGGACUGAGACACGGCCCAGACUCCUACGGGAGGCAGCAGUGGGGAAUCUUGCGCAAUGGGCGAAAGCCUGACGCAGCGACGCCGCGUGCGGGAAGAAGGCCUUCGGGUUGUAAACCGCUUUCAGGAGGGACGAAGCCACUCGGGUUAAUAGCCCAGAGGGUGACGGUACCUCCAGAAGAAGCCCGGCUAACUACCUGCCAGCAGCCGCGGUA